rnacentral:lncRNA from 1 species
GCUGGUGCUACCUACUGAGUGUGUUUUCUGGCAGUUUUAGAAUGGCAGUGUCAACUUACUCUUGUUUGGGUCUGCCUGCUUAACAAACAUCAAGGUCACAGGUAUCCUCCAGCAAACCACUAACAUGUUUAAAUGAAGUCAGAAGACUCUCCGCUGUUCUGAUGAAAGAGCCAGAGCAAGAUGACACUGAGAAACCUUCCAGCCCACGCUAGUAGAGACCUGAAAUAACAUCUGUA